AGGUCAAAGAGGCCGCAGAGGCGCACAGGCCUGGCGAUGAUGGUUUUGUGAUCUCUAUCAGGGAACACAAGACUAACAAGUCCUUUGGGGUGGCCCAAAUGUUCUUAGAGACUGACGAGUUUCGAUGGCUGGUUCGGUGGCUGCAGCUGCGGGUGGCCAGCAAGCCACCGAACCAGCUGGUUUUCUUCACGGCUGGGAAGGGCCCAUGCUAAAACUUCUUGCACCACCUGCAGGUAGCGUGGGCGGAGAUCUGCCUUAAAGGGUCCCCCAACUUCACUGACCUGAGGACCGCUGUGUCUGCUCAUGUCAAGAACAACCUUCUGUCGGGCAGCAGAAGAUGGUGGCCACCUUUAUGUGCCACAACAUUACCACCGCUGACUGCUUCUACGCCCUCAGCCUGAACGUGGCCCAGUCAAAGAGGAUGAGGGAGCAUUUCCGCUAGGCCCUCACCCACACCGCGCCAUCACCGGAGCAACCAGAAGCCUCCUCCUCCUCCCCCACCAGGAAGAGUUACCGCAAGCCUGAGUCCUCCUCCAGUUCCAAGACAAAACCCCUGCCACCUACCAGGAGUCAGGGACCUCGGGACUGGAGAAGGAGAGGGAGUUUAUGGAGAGGCUGCAAAAUAUAAACACCAGAGAAGGCCCGAGAAGUCUCGUGAACACGCCAGUGUGCUUCAACCUAACUUGUGUGGUGGGAAAUGUCUUCAGCCACACCGGAAAAUAAGUUUUGUUUUUAAUACUUUGCUUUUGUAUGAGCUGGAUUAUACAGUACACCAAACGUAUUAUGAAUAAAACAACAUGGAUAUUCCA